rnacentral:rRNA from 1 species
UCAUUAAAUCAGUUACGGUUCAUUAGAAGUUGACCGCUUACAUGGAUAACUGUGGCAAUUCUAGAGCUAAUACAUGCACCAAAGCUCCGACCCUCCGGGAAGGGGCGCACUUAUUAGACCAAGACCAAUGGAGAGUUUCGGCUCUCCGUAGUUACGGUGACUCUGGAUAAUUGCGCUGAUCGCAUGGCCUUAGAGCCGGCGACGAAUCUUUCAAGUUUCUGCCUUAUCAACUGUCGAUGGUAGGUUAUGCGCCUACCAUGGUUGUAACGGGUAACGGGGAAUCAGGGUUCGAUUCCGGAGAGGGAGCCUGAGAAACGGCUACCACAUCCAAGGAAGGCAGCAGGCACGCAAAUUACCCACUCCCGGCACGGGGAGGUAGUGACGAAAAAUAACGAUAUGGGACUCUUACGAGGCCCCAUAAUCGGAAUGAGAACACUUUAAAUCCUUUAGCGAGGAUCAAUUGGAGGGCAAGUCUGGUGCCAGCAGCCGCGGUAAUUCCAGCUCCAAUAGCGUAUAUUAAAGUUGUUGCGGUUAAAAAGCUCGUAGUUGGAUCUCAGUCCAAGCCAGGCGGUCCACUAACGGUGGUUAUCGGCUGGCUGGGCAUCUUACUGAGCCGUCUCGUGGUGCUCUUAACCGGGUGUCACGAGCGAUCAGUACGUUUACUUUGAAAAAAUUAGAGUGCUCAAAGCAGGCGCAAAGCCCGAAUAAUGUUGCAUGGAAUAAUAGAAUAGGACCUCGGUUCUAUUUUGUUGGUCUUCGGAGCCUGGGGUAAUGAUAAAGAGGGACAGACGGGGGCAUUCGUAUUGCGGCGCUAGAGGUGAAAUUCUUGGACCGUCGCAAGACGAACUAAAGCGAAAGCAUUUGCCAAGAAUGUUUUCAUUAAUCAAGAACGAAAGUUUGAGGUUCGAAGGCGAUCAGAUACCGCCCUAGUUCAAACCAUAAACGAUGCCAACCAGCAAUCUGCCUGAGUUUCUUUAAUGACUCGGCAGGCGGCUUCCGGGAAACCAAAGUUUUUCGGUUCCGGGGGAAGUAUGGUUGCAAAGCUGAAACUUAAAGGAAUUGACGGAAGGGCACCACCAGGAGUGGAGCCUGCGGCUUAAUUUGACUCAACACGGGGAAACUCACCCGGCCCGGACACUGUAAGGAUUGACAGAUUGAGAGCUCUUUCUUGAUUCAGUGGGUGGUGGUGCAUGGCCGUUCUUAGUUGGUGGAGUGAUUUGUCUGGUUAAUUCCGAUAACGAACGAGACUCUAGCCUAUUAAAUAGAGCGCAAUCUCACCGCGAUUGCGAGACUUCUUAGAGGAACAGGCGGCGAUUCAGCCGCACGAAACAGAGCAAUAACAGGUCUGUGAUGCCCUUAGAUGUCCGGGGCCGCACGCGCGCUACAAUGAUGAGAUCAGCGUGCCGUUGCCCGGUCUGAGAAGACCGGGUAACCCAGUGAAUCCUCUUCAUGAUUGGGAUUGGAGAUUGUAAUUAUUGUCCAUGAACGAGGAAUUCCCAGUAAGUGCGAGUCAUCAACUCGCAUUGAUUACGUCCCUGCCCUUUGUACACACCGCCCGUCGCUACUACCGAUUGAAUGAUUUAGUGAGGUCUUCGGAUCGGCCGGUGCGGCUGCCUACGGGUGGCGGCACUGCGUUGAGAAGAUGCCCAAACUUGAUCAUUU